ensembl:misc_RNA Metazoa_SRP Metazoan signal recognition particle RNA
GCUGGGCAUGAUGGCACGUGCCUGUAAUCCCAGCUACUCGGGAGGCUGAGGCAGGUGAAUCGCUUGAACCCAGGAGGCGGAGGUUGCAGUGAGCCCAGAUCGUGCCAUUGUACUCCAGCCUGGGUGACAGAGUGAGAGUCUGUCUCAC